rnacentral:rRNA from 1 species
AUUGAACGCUGGCGGAAUGCUUUACACAUGCAAGUCGAACGGUAGAGGGGGCAACCCCUCGAGAGUGGCGAACGGGUGAGUAAUAUAUCGGAACGUGCCCAGUCGUGGGGGAUAACGUAGCGAAAGUUACGCUAAUACCGCAUACGAUCUAAGGAUGAAAGCGAGGGAUCGCAAGAACUCGCGCGAUUGGAGCGGCCGAUAUCAGAUUAGGUAGUUGGUGGGGUAAAGGCUCACCAAGCCAACGAUCUGUAGCUGGUCUGAGAGGACGACCAGCCACACUGGAACUGAGACACGGUCCAGACUCCUACGGGAGGCAGCAGUGGGGAAUCUUGGACAAUGGACGCAAGUCUGAUCCAGCCAUUCCGCGUGCAGGAUGAAGGCCCUCGGGUUGUAAACUGCUUUUGUACGGAACGAAAAGGUCUCUCUUAAUACGGGGGGCUCAUGACGGUACCGUAAGAAUAAGCACCGGCUAACUACGUGCCAGCAGCCGCGGUAA